UUAACUCUAAUAAGAGUGUUUUAUUCAAGCUUAUGGUUAAUCAUUGCUGAUUGCCAUGAAAAUUGUACUCUGUACAUCUUGCAUGUAUAAGUCAGGUAUGAAAGGCUGAUCACCUUCAUUACCAGUUGGUCCAGAAAUGUUUGUUCAUGUUUAAAACUUGUUCAGUCAAAAGUUUGUUCCUGCUAGUUCUCAAUUAUAUUGAUGAAUUAUAGCCAGCUUAUUAUUCAUACUCUUCAAUCAUGAUAUAUCCUUAUAUUGUUGUAUUUAAACUUGCUGGGC
rnacentral:lncRNA from 1 species